CUCCUACGGGGGGCAGCAGUGGGGAAUAUUGCACAAUGGGGGAAACCCUGAUGCAGCAACGCCGCGUGAGUGAAGAAGUAUUUCGGUAUGUAAAGCUCUAUCAGCAGGGAAGAAGAAAGACGGUACCUGACUAAGAAGCCCCGGCUAACUACGUGCCAGCAGCCGCGGUAAUACGUAGGGGGCAAGCGUUAUCCGGAUUUACUGGGUGUAAAGGGCGUGUAGGCGGGGAAGAAAGUCAGAUGGGAAAAUCCAGGGCUCAACCCUGGAACUGCAUUUGAAACUGUUUUUCUU
rnacentral:rRNA from 1 species